AUUGAACGCUGGCGGCAGGCUUAACGCAUGCAAGUCGAGCGGAGAGAGGUAGCUUGCUACUGAUCUUAGCGGCGGACGGGUGAGUAAUGCUUAGGCAUCUGCCUAUUAGUGGGGGACAACAUUUCGAAAGGAAUGCUAAUACCGCAUACGUCCUACGGGAGAAAGCAGGGGAUCUUCGGACCUUGCGCUAAUAGAUGAGCCUAAGUCGGAUUAGCUAGUUGGUGGGGUAAAGGCCUACCAAGGCGACGAUCUGUAGCGGGUCUGAGAGGAUGAUCCGCCACACUGGGACUGAGACACGGCCCAGACUCCUACGGGAGGCAGCAGUGGGGAAUAUUGGACAAUGGGCGGAAGCCUGAUCCAGCCAUGCCGCGUGUGUGAAGAAGGCCUUAUGGUUGUAAAGCACUUUAAGCGAGGAGGAGGCUACUUUAGUUAAUACCUAGAGAUAGUGGACGUUACUCGCAGAAUAAGCACCGGCUAACUCUGUGCCAGCCGCCGCCGUAAAAC
rnacentral:rRNA from 1 species